GCUGGGUGUGGUGGCUCACGCCUGUAAUCCCAGCAAUUUGGGAGGCUGAGGUAGGAGGAUCACUUGAGGUCAGGAGUUCAAGACCAGCCUGGCCAAAAUGGUGAAACCCUAUCUCUA
rnacentral:SRP_RNA from 1 species